rnacentral:rRNA from 1 species
UACGUAGGGUGCAAGCGUUAAUCGGAAUUACUGGGCGUAAAGCGUGCGCAGGCGGUUUUGUAAGUCUGUCGUGAAAGCCCCGGGCUCAACCUGGGAAUUGCGAUGGAGACUGCAAGGCUUGAAUCUGGCAGAGGGGGGUAGAAUUCCACGUGUAGCAGUGAAAUGCGUAGAUAUCUGGAGGAACACCGGUGGCGAAGGCGGCAUCCUGGACCAACACUGACGCUGAGGAGCGAAAGCCAGGGGAGCAAACGGG